UGGAAUGUAGCUCAGUCGGUAGAGCGCCCCGCUGUUAACGGGGUUGUCGCAGGUUCGAGCCCUGCCGUUCCAGCCA
rnacentral:tRNA from 1 species